UACGUAGGGGGCAAGCGUUGUCCGGAUUUAUUGGGCGUAAAGAGCGUGUAGGCGGCUUUACAGGUCCGUUGUGAAAACUCGAGGCUCAACCUCGAGACGCCGGUGGAAACCGUAAGGCUAGAGUCCGGAAGAGGAGAGUGGAAUUCCUGGUGUAGCGGUGAAAUGCGCAGAUAUCUGGAGGAACACCGGUGGCGAAGGCGGCAUCCUGGACCAUUACUGACACUGAAUAGCGAAAGCCAGGGGAGCAAACGGG
rnacentral:rRNA from 1 species